rnacentral:SRP_RNA from 1 species
GCCAGGCGUGGUGGCAUGUGCCUGUAGUCUCAGCUACACAGGAGGCUGAGACAGGAGGAUCACUUGAGCCCAGGAGGUCAAGGCUGCAGUGAGCCAUGACCUUGCCACUGCACUCCAGCCUGGGAGACAGAGUGAGACCCUGUCUCAA